rnacentral:rRNA from 1 species
AUGAGUUACUCCUGGAGCAACGAGAGAGAGGACCCAACUCUUUGUAGCAUCGACAAAUUCUUCUGCAAUGCUCAGUGGAAGGAUAGCCACCCAGAUUUCAUUCUUGCAGCCGCCUCCACCUCCUUCUCUGACCACUAUCCUCUGCUACUUACCAAGGCCACAGUUCCUUUCAGACCGGCUCGUUUCAGAUUCGAAAACUUCUGGCCUAAAUUUCCUCACUUCUUUGAAACUGUUCAGCACGCGUGGCAACGGGCACUGAAUCAUGAUUGCCCGUUCGUCAGAAUCAAGAGGAGAUUGGCUCGGGUGGUGGAUGACCUAAAGAUAUGGAGCAGAUCCACGUUUGGCAAGAUGAAGCUUCAGUUCCACGCCGCCAACGAAGUGAUCCUCAGGCUCGACUCAGCGGAAGAAUUCAGGCAGCUCUCCGCUGCUGAAUUUCACCUUAGAAAACAACUCAAGCUCAAGGUGCUGGGUAUUGCUGUGAUCAAAAGAGCCAGGAAGAAACAGGCUUCAUGGAUUGGCUGGCUGCGUGCUGGUGACGCCAACACAAAACUGAGAGCCCGGCGGAGGAAAAACUUCAUCCACUCCUUGAGAGUGGACAAUAGAGAGGUCUCUGAUCAUGCAGAUAAAGAAAAGGCCGUGUAUGAGCACUUUGCAGCUGGGAUUGGUCAGCGGGAACGCAGGGAGAAAUCACUCAACUCGGACGUUCUCGAUAUCCGAGUGAUUGAUGAUCAGGGCCUUUUGUCACCCUUCUCCAUAGCUGAAGUUUGGGCUGCGAUCGUCGCCUCCCCCUCCGAAAGAGCGCUGGGCCGAGAUGGUUUCACGGGACAAUUCUACAAAUCCUGUUGGCCAAUCAUCCAAGAGUCAUGGUUGCGUUUCAUAAAUUCCUUCAGCUUGCAGGGCAUAAUUUCUCUAAGAUCAACAAGGCACUCAUCACCCUUCUACCUAAGAAAGACGGUGCGAGUGAGCUGGGUCAUUACUGACCGAUCAGCCUAA